GAUGAGGCAUUAAAGAGAAGGAGGAAUGUCUCAAGGGAGGUGAGCUGGAGGCGAAGCAAGACUGCAAGCUCUUCUUAGCAGGUGGAAGUUUCCCCGGAUCUCAGAUAGCUUCUUUCCAGCAUGGGAUUUGGCACAGCUCCUAGGAAAUGAGGACAACCGAUCAUACAGCCAUAGAGGGGAAGAACUGGAAGGGACCUCAGGCUGUACCAUUUCCAG